AAAAGUACCGGAAUGCAGUAACAGGUCAGUACUCAAAUCAAAUUGGAAGCGCAGUAUGAUAUUAAUGGUUGCAACAUCAAAGAUGGUCCCCUAGUGUCCUAUCAGGGGCGGAUAACCAGCGUGUAACACAAAUACACCCACAUCAUCGCGUCGUACCCACGUGAACUGUCAACUUGUCACGAAUGGGAGAUAAAAUGAGAGACCGUGAAUGAAAUCACUAAGAAGGAAUCAUCAAGCCGAGGACGGAGAUUGCUCUGCUAUAAACGAUAGAACAAGGUGUAGGGAAUAUACAUCAUAGUAAAAAGCAUUUCACCAACCAUCCAAGAUGUCGGCUGUUACCAAGGUGUUUCUUCUUUCCUAUUUUGCCUUAUUUGGUAUUGUCACGUGUCACGUUCGCCGUUCUCCUGUAUUACCAUGCCAACCGUGUAACUAUUUAGACGUACCUAUGAUAGAAAUUGUCAAAUACAGCGUCCUGUGUGGAAACUGCGGAACGAAUUUCGGAUCUGAAUAUGAACACUGCUGUAUGUGCCAUAGCAAAUUUCGACAAGUUUGUGCUAUAUCUCUUGGUAUGAAGUAAACAACCAACAACGCUCAGUGACCAAUGUUAAAUGAUAUAUCUUGCUCUUUUGGAAAUGGCAAAGAUUUCCACCCAUGAAACUUUCUUCAUUACAAAAACCGCUCAUCUUAGUUAUCUGUGUUAUGCUGCCAUCUUUAGUUUUGUUCUUAUUCAAAUUCAAAAUGUCAAACUGUAUUAUAUAUCUGUUGAUACUGCUUGCUAUAAUUGUUAUAGCAGGAUACGACUGUUGGCAAUGGUGUUAACUGUGUAAUGUGGUAAAAGCUAUUGAUGGUAAAAUGUCGGUACACGAUGUUGUGAUCUUGGUCUGAUGACGUGGUUAAUGGUGUGGAUUCCGGUGGUAAUGCCAGGAUUCAGCCCUCGAUACCGACGUUCUUUGAUGCCAAUAUAGAUGUGGAUGGCGAUGCCUUGAUGCAACUCUCAAAACUGAUGGUAAAGCCUCAACACAUACCUGCCCACGCAUGACCUCUCGUUGAUACAUCUGAAGAAUCUUAUGGGUAAAGCGUGAAUAGCUUCAAACUGGCGAAUUGGGAAAUCAUCUGCUGAUCAAUGCAGCUGUCCACACGACACUAUAUUAAGGUACCACGCACAGCGCAGCUGCACAGGGUCCACGCUGUAUUGAAUUUAAAGAUGUUAUUCACAUCCAUACACCCAGAAAAAAGCCCAGAGAGUUGCUAUUUGACAGGUUGUUUCUUCUUUAGGUUAUGUGAUGGCGGUUGAGUUGAAGUGGUCUUAUGCCAUUGUUUUAAUUUUGUUUUGUGCUCAUUAAUUAAAGUAUAUUGUUUGUUAAUUUUU